UUGGCACAUUUUACUCUUCUGGCAGCUGGAGAGAGCUCUGAUCUGUGUCUCUUCAGUGAAUGCUGGUGGUGGUGACAAUAAUGAAUUUCUAAAGGCAAUUAACACAGUGACAGGGUUUAUAAAUUAUAGAUUAUGACAACACUCCCUGCGAUCUGGUUUUUUCCUUUGAAGACCACCUGGCUACCAAUAAUGGUCUCACCAGAAAAAUCCUGUAUUUGUGGGCCAAGACAGAGGAAGAACAACAAUGUAAAAAGCUGGAAAUCUUAGAGCAGACUCACAUCUUAACUAGGAGAAUAAGUGCUGGCUCAAGUGCCCCAGGACUGAAGCAAAUCAGACAUAGGGGAGGGGGGAGAAUGUUAGAAUGAGGCACACCUGAUUCAGCCGCUAAAUGGUCUGGUUGGCUAAGAAUCACAGUCGAGGUAUUUUGCUUUUCUAGUUUUCUUUGGUGAAGAUCUGUGAGCAUCCAAAUGAUGUGAAGAGCAAUAUGGCUAAUCUGCACUACUUCGAAAGCCUGGGAGGAAUACUUCCUCUUUGCUGGAUGUGGCGUCUGCAUGUACCAUCUGGAAUUGCUAUAGCCAA
rnacentral:lncRNA from 1 species